UAGGGAAUCUUCGGCAAUGGACGGAAGUCUGACCGGGCAACGCCGCGUGAGUGAAGAAGGUUUUCGGAUCGUAAAGCUCUGUUGUAAGAGAAGAACGAGUGUGAGAGUGGAAAGUUCACACUGUGACGGUAUCUUACCAGAAAGGGACGGCUAACUACGUGCCAGCAGCCGCGGUAAUACGUAGGUCCCGAGCGUUGUCCGGAUUUAUUGGGCGUAAAGCGAGCGCAGGCGGUUAGAUAAGUCUGAAGUUAAAGGCUGUGGCUUAACCAUAGUAGGCUUUGGAAACUGUUUAACUUGAGUGCAAGAGGGGAGAGUGGAAUUCCAUGUGUAGCGGUGAAAUGCGUAGAUAUAUGGAGGAACACCGGUGGCGAAAGCGGCUCUCUGGCUUGUAACUGACGCUGAGGCUCGAAAGCGUGGGGAGCAAACAGGAUUAGAUACCCUGGUAGUCCACGCUGUAAACGAUGAGUGCUAGGUGUUAGACCCUUUCCGGGGUUUAGUGCCGUAGCUAACGCAUUAAGCACUCCGCCUGGGGAGUACGACCGCAAGGUUG
rnacentral:rRNA from 1 species